CCCGGCGCCUUCCGCACCUGUCACACCAGUGAUAGGAGCCUGUGGGUCCUGGGCAGACCCCACCCCAGGCAAGAUAUGUGGACAGUUAAUCCAAUUAGGUGUAGGGAGGGGGUGAAGAGCCCCCCCCCCCCCCCUCGCUGGUGCUAAGUAGCUCCCAGGGCUCCCGUAGACUCCAGAUCCACACCGCACGCGCAGGCGGGCUCUCCUUUUCCCUCCAAAAGCUGUUCUUUCUCCUACCUCUCUGGUCACAGUGGACUACAGUGCCAUGUUCCAGUUGCUGAGGCCAGAACCUUGGAGUUCAUGGCCAAACCUCCUCUUCCCUCUGGAUGGCUGUUAGAGCCCCCCAACCCUCCCCCAGCUGUUGUGAGCAAAGCAGCCAGGGCCACUACAGAGUGAGUUGUGUCCUUGCCUGGAGAUACAUGGCUAGUGAAUGUGGAGCCGGCACCAAACCUGGGCAACCUGCUUCUAUAGACCAUGCUCUCAGUGACAAAGCCUGAAUCUUCCCCAUCCUAUAUGUAUGCAAUUGAAUUUUGCCAUCCAAGUUAGAAGCUUGCCUCAUCCCUGUUUGUCCCGGUAUGUUUGUCUUGUCAUUCUGCGGAGCUGCCUGGAAGUGGCAUGCUGAGACCAUGACCUCGGAUGCUCCUGGAGGUGAGCCCGCUGCCAUCUCAGCUCCCCUAAGGGCUGGAAGAAGGAGAAACUCAGGGGCUCCAGAUGGCAAGAGCUCUUCCUCCUUUUAUUUUUUACAAUGACUGGUCACUUUACAAAACCUGGAAAUCACCAAAGAGAAACAAAAAAGCAGAACUAAAUAAACAAGUCCCUCC